rnacentral:misc_RNA from 1 species
GGCAAAAACUUACUUACUUAAAAACUCUUUUGUUGAUUGGAUGAAAAUGUCAACAUUCUCGUUUUCAACCCCCGGUCUAGAUAGAUUAAAAUGCUGGUAAACAUUUUGGCACAUUCAAUUCUGUUAAUUGAUUUUCUUCAGUUUGUUAUUUUGUUACAAAAAAGAUUUUGGCCCAGGUUUCCUAUACAUGUGACUUAAAAGUUCAGUUAAGCUUAGGAAUGUGAAAACAAUAGUGAGAAAGUCCGUAUAUGUUUAUGUACUAACUCGUAUGAUGCAGUAGAUACCAAAUUGAAAGAUGUUUUGGGAUGUAUGUGCAAUAUAUCAUUUUCUGUGUUUAUCAAGUCAAUUUUGUUUUGUUUUUAAUAUACAUGUAUAUUGAUAAAAAAAACAUUCACCUGGCUAAAUGUAGCUUGUUUGCUUAUGUUUAGUCGUCCCCCAGAAUUUGAAGUGUUGAAAUGAGAAAGGUGAUAAGUGGUGGGCACAAGGGGGCACAAGAUCAAACUGUGAGGAGUAUUAAUUUACACAUGUAUUACAGCAUAUAAGAGAUGAGAAUUGUAGCACUCUGUGAGUUGUGAGAAUCAGUAUGACAUGUAUACUGAAUGAUUAUGUUGUUUUUUAUGAUGUUAUUUAUUCAUUAAGGCCCAGUGUUUGAGUGAAAUGAAUGGUUUGGAUGCUGCUUCUUUUAUUAUUAAAUUUUUGUUUAUGAACCAAAGUGAUUGUUAAAGACCAUUCCAAUGUAAAAGUCUUUGCUUUAAAUUUAUGCAAUAAAUAUGUUAUUCCCUU